CAAAGCAUGGCAUCUUUUUGUUCCUGUUAAUUGGAACAAAUCAGAGAAGGUUAGCAUGGCCCCUGCACAAGAAUGACACACACAUUUGUGAAGUGUUCCAUAUUUUU